rnacentral:rRNA from 1 species
AGUGAACGCUGGCGGUAGGCCUAACACAUGCAAGUCGAACGGCAGCACAGUAAGAGCUUGCUCUUACGGGUGGCGAGUGGCGGACGGGUGAGGAAUACAUCGGAAUCUACUUUUUCGUGGGGGAUAACGUAGGGAAACUUACGCUAAUACCGCAUACGACCUACGGGUGAAAGCAGGGGAUCUUCGGACCUUGCGCGAUUGAAUGAGCCGAUGUCGGCUUAGCUAGUUGGCGGGGUAAAGGCCCACCAAGGCGACGAUCCGUAGCUGGUACGAGAGCAUGGUUGGGCAGACUGUAUCAGAGACUGGGCCGAGACACCGAGGGUGGGCCGCAGUGGGGAAUAUUGCACGAUGGACGCAAGCCUGAUCCAGCCAUACCGGGUGGGGGAAGAAGGACUUCUGGUUGUAAAACCCUUUUGUUGGGAAAGAAAAGCAGCAGUUUAACACCCCGCUGUUCUGACGGUACCCAAAGAAUAAGCACCGGCUAACUUCGUG